rnacentral:rRNA from 1 species
CACGUAGUUAGCCGGUGCUUAUUCUUCAGGUACCGUCAUUAGCGCAGAAUAUUAGUCCGCACCGUUUCUUCCCUGACAAAAGAGCUUUACAACCCGAAGGCCUUCUUCACUCACGCGGCAUUGCUGGAUCAGGCUUGUGCCCAUUGUCCAAAAUUCCCCACUGCUGCCUCCCGUAGGAGUCUGGACCGUGUCUCAGUUCCAGUGUGGCUGGUCGUCCUCUCAGACCAGCUACUGAUCGUCGCCUUGGUAGGCCUUUACCCUACCAACUAGCUAAUCCAGAUAUCGGCCGCUCCACAAGCAUGAGGCCCGAAGGUCCCCCACUUUCAUCCGUAGAUCGUAUGCGGUAUUAGCGUAACUUUCGCUACGUUAUCCCCCACUUCUGGGUACGUUCCGAUAUAUUACUCACCCGUUCGCCACUCGCCACCAGACCGAAGUCCCGUGCCUGCCGUUCGACUUGCAUGUGUAAAGCAUGCCGCCAGCGUUCAAGUCUGAGCCAGGAUCAAA